rnacentral:rRNA from 1 species
CAGUAGCCGCGGUAAUACGAAGGGGGCUAGCGUUGUUCGGAUUUACUGGGCGUAAAGGGCGCGUAGGCGGACUGAUAAGUCAGGGGUGAAAUCCCAAGGCUCAACCUUGGAACUGCCUUUGAUACUGUUUGUCUUGAGUUCGAGAGAGGUAAGUAGAACUGCGAGUGUAGAGGUGAAAUUCGUAGAUAUUCGCAAGAACACCAGUGGCGAAGGCGGCUUACUGGCUCGAAACUGACGCUGAGGCGCGAAAGCGUGGGGAGCAAACAGGAUUAGAUACCCCUGUAGUCCCUGUCUCUUAUAC